rnacentral:rRNA from 1 species
UACGGAGGGUGCAAGCGUUAUCCGGAUUCACUGGGUUUAAAGGGUGCGUAGGAGGGUAGGUAAGUCAGUGGUGAAAUCCCCGAGCUUAACUUGGGAACUGCCGUUGAUACUAUCUACCUUGAAUACCGUGGAGGUGAGCGGAAUAUGUCAUGUAGCGGUGAAAUGCUUAGAUAUGACAUAGAACACCAAUUGCGAAGGCAGCUCGCUACACGAAUAUUGACUCUGAGGCACGAAAGCGUGGGGAUCAAACAGG